rnacentral:rRNA from 1 species
CAUGCAAGUCGAACGCUUCUUUUUCCACCGGAGCUUGCUCCACCGGAAAAAGAGGAGUGGCGAACGGGUGAGUAACACGUGGGUAACCUGCCCAUCAGAAGGGGAUAACACUUGGAAACAGGUGCUAAUACCGUAUAACAAUCGAAACCGCAUGGUUUUGAUUUGAAAGGCGCUUUCGGGUGUCGCUGAUGGAUGGACCCGCGGUGCAUUAGCUAGUUGGUGAGGUAACGGCUCACCAAGGCCACGAUGCAUAGCCGACCUGAGAGGGUGAUCGGCCACAUUGGGACUGAGACACGGCCCAAACUCCUACGGGAGGCAGCAGUAGGGAAUCUUCGGCAAUGGACGAAAGUCUGACCGAGCAACGCCGCGUGAGUGAAGAAGGUUUUCGGAUCGUAAAACUCUGUUGUUAGAGAAGAACAAGGAUGAGAGUAACUGUUCAUCCCUUGACGGUAUCUAACCAGAAAGCCACGGCUAACUACGUGCCAGCAGCCGCGGUAAUACGUAGGUGGCAAGCGUUGUCCGGAUUUAUUGGGCGUAAAGCGAGCGCAGGCGGUUUCUUAAGUCUGAUGUGAAAGCCCCCCGGCUCAACCGGGGAGGGUCAUUGGAAACUGGGAGACUUGAGUGCAGAAGAGGAGAGUGGAAUUCCAUGUGUAGCGGUGAAAUGCGUAGAUAUAUGGAGGAACACCAGUGGCGAAAGCGGCUCUCUGGUCUGUAACUGACGCUGAGGCUCGAAAGCGUGGGGAGCAAACAGGAUUAGAUACCCUGGUAGUCCACGCCGUAACGAUGAGUGCUAAGUGUUGGAGGGUUUCCGCCCUUCAGUGCUGCAGCUAACGCAUUAAGCACUCCGCCUGGGAGUACGACCG